CAAUAAUACAAAUUGUCUGUUCGGUCUGUCGGAUCGUUGGCGCUAAUCCCAAAAACUCGAACUGUUAAAAAUACGCAAUCAAUUCAUUUAAAGCGUACAUGACUUAGCCAACCCAGCUUUACGCCAUUUCGAACAUGAGUCAGCCUCCCGCCACAUGGCAAGAUGCUGGCUCAUUUAAGCCAACAAUCCCCCCUCCAGCAUCUGAACACGUUCGCAGCAUGUAGGAAUCAAACCCGCGACCUCUGGCUCUAAUACCACUGGUCGAAUCGUUGGCGCUAACCAUUAAUCCCAAAAGCUCGAGGUAUUAGAAAUACGCAACCAAUUCACUUAAAGCGUACAGAUAUAGCGCCUAUGGGUCUCGAUUAUGACUCGGCCCAACCGGCCUCACGCCACUUCAAACAUGACUGGACCCACCCAACCUCACGUCAUUUCGAACAUGACUCGGCCCAAUAUGACCUCCUACCAUAGGGCAAGAUACUGACCCAUUUAAGUCAACACGGUCGUGCAUUUAACUCUGCUCGCAGCUACAGUCG
rnacentral:lncRNA from 1 species